rnacentral:misc_RNA from 1 species
GAGUCGUAACAAGGUUGCCGUGAGGAUGAAUCCAUGCAGGAAGGAUGCAUUACAAAUAAAGCUGGUAGGAAGUGGGGUCUUGAUCUGUAAGUGGUAGAGCAACAGUCCGGCUGCCUCCCGAAAUGUCUUACAUGUCCCCCACAGCCUGAAGGCCGAAUUACAACCCUUGAUUAUCUACACUUGUUGCUUUGGGGUGCUCAAGUGCCCCAGAGGACCCAACUCUCUUGCAUUUAGUGACGUCUGAGUACUAUAUAAUAUUUAAAA